rnacentral:rRNA from 1 species
GGUUAAGCGACUAAGCGUACACGGUGGAUGCCCUGGCAGUCAGAGGCGAUGAAGGACGUGCUAAUCUGCGAUAAGCGUCGGUAAGGUGAUAUGAACCGUUAUAACCGGCGAUUUCCGAAUGGGGAAACCCAGUGUGUUUCGACACACUAUCAUUAACCGAAUCCAUAGGUUAAUGAGGCGAACCGGGGGAACUGAAACAUCUAAGUACCCCGAGGAAAAGAAAUCAACCGAGAUUCCCCAAGUAGCGGCGAGCGAACGGGGAGCAGCCCAGAGCCUGAAUCAGUGUGUGUGUUAGUGGAAGCGUCUGGAAAGGCGCGCGAUACAGGGUGACAGCCCCGUACACAAAAAUGCACAUAUUGUGAGCUCGAUGAGUAGGGCGGGACACGUGGUAUCCUGUCUGAAUAUGGGGGGACCAUCCUCCAAGGCUAAAUACUCCUGACUGACCGAUAGUGAACCAGUACCGUGAGGGAAAGGCGAAAAGAACCCCGGCGAGGGGAGUGAAAAAGAACCUGAAACCGUGUACGUACAAGCAGUGGGAGCACGCUUAGGCGUGUGACUGCGUACCUUUUGUAUAAUGGGUCAGCGACUUAUAUUCUGUAGCAAGGUUAACCGAAUAGGGGAGCCGAAGGGAAACCGAGUCUUAACUGGGCGUUAAGUUGCAGGGUAUAGACCCGAAACCCGGUGAUCUAGCCAUGGGCAGGUUGAAGGUUGGGUAACACUAACUGGAGGACCGAACCGACUAAUGUUGAAAAAUUAGCGGAUGACUUGUGGCUGGGGGUGAAAGGCCAAUCAAACCGGGAGAUAGCUGGUUCUCCCCGAAAGCUAUUUAGGUAGCGCCUCGUGAAUUCAUCUCCGGGGGUAGAGCACUGUUUCGGCAAGGGGGUCAUCCCGACUUACCAACCCGAUGCAAACUGCGAAUACCGGAGAAUGUUAUCACGGGAGACACACGGCGGGUGCUAACGUCCGUCGUGAAGAGGGAAACAACCCAGACCGCCAGCUAAGGUCCCAAAGUCAUGGUUAAGUGGGAAACGAUGUGGGAAGGCCCAGACAGCCAGGAUGUUGGCUUAGAAGCAGCCAUCAUUUAAAGAAAGCGUAAUAGCUCACUGGUCGAGUCGGCCUGCGCGGAAGAUGUAACGGGGCUAAACCAUG